GGCGGCAGGCCUAACACAUGCAGUCGAGCGGAACGGCAGCAUUGAAGCUUCGGUGGAUUUGCUGGACGUCGAGCGGCGGACGGGUGAGUAACGGCUGGGAACCUGCCCUGACGCGGGGGAUAACCGUUGGAAACGACGGCUAAUACCGCAUAAUGUCUUAGUUCAUUACGAGCUGGGACCAAAGGUGGCCUCUACAUGUAAGCUAUCGCGUUGGGAUGGGCCCAGUUAGGAUUAGCUAGUUGGUAAGGUAAUGGCUUACCAAGGCGACGAUCCUUAGCUGGUUUGAGAGGAUGAUCAGCCACACUGGGACUGAGACACGGCCCAGACUCCUACGGGAGGCAGCAGUGGGGAAUAUUGCACAAUGGGGGAGACCCUGAUGCAGCCAUGCCGCGUGUGUGAAGAAGGCCUUCGGGUUGUAAAGCACUUUCAGCAGUGAGGAAGGUGGUGUACUAAUAAGUGCAUGGCUGACGUUGACCUGCAAAAUAAGCACCGGCUAACUCCGUGCCAGCAGCCGCGGUAAUACGGAGGGUGCGAGCGUUAAUCGGAAUUACUGGGCGUAAAGCGCAUGCAGGCAGUUUGUUAAGUCAGAUGUGAAAGCCCGGGGCUCAACCUCGGAACCGCAUUUGAAACUGGCAGGCUAGAGUCUUGUAUAGGGUGGUAGAAUUUCAGGUGUAGCGGUGAAAUGCAUAAAGAUCUGGAAGGAAUACCAGUGGGAAAGCGGCCCCCUGGACAAGACUGACGCUCAGAUGCAAAAGCGUGGGUAGCAACAGGAUUAGAUACCCUGGGUAGUCCACGCCGUAAACGCGGUCUACUUGGAGGUUGAGGUUUAGACUUUGGCUUUCGGCGCUAACGCAUUAAGUAGACCGCCUGGGGAGUACGGCCGCAAGGUUAAAACUCAAAUGAAUUGACGGGGGCCCGCACAAGCGGUGGAGCAUGUGGUUUAAUUCGAUGCAACGCGAAGAACCUUACCUACUCUUGACAUCCAGAGAAUUUUCCAGAGAUGGAUGGGUGCCUUCGGGAGCUCUGAGACAGGUGCUGCAUGGCUGUCGUCAGCUCGUGUUGUGAAAUGUUGGGUUAAGUCCCGCAACGAGCGCAACCCUUAUCCUUGUUUGCCAGCACGUAAUGGUGGGAACUCCAGGGAGACUGCCGGUGAUAAACCGGAGGAAGGUGGGGACGACGUCAAGUCAUCAUGGCCCUUACGAGUAGGGCUACACACGUGCUACAAUGGCAGAUACAGAGGGCAGCGAAGCUGCGAAGUGGAGCGAAUCCCUUAAAGUCUGUCGUAGUCCGGAUUGGAGUCUGCAACUCGACUCCAUGAAGUCGGAAUCGCUAGUAAUCGUGGAUCAGAAUGCCACGGUGAAUACGUUCCCGGGCCUUGUACACACCGCCCGUCACACCAUGGGAGUGGGCUGCACCAGAAGUAGAUAGCUAACCUCGGAGGGCGUUACCC
rnacentral:rRNA from 1 species